ACGCUGGCGGCGUGCCUAAUACAUGCAAGUCGAACGGCUUUUCUAUGGAAGCUUGCUUCACUGAGAAGAUAGUGGCGAACGGGUGAGUAACACGUGGGUAACCUGCCCAUAAGAGGGGGGAUAACAUCCGGAAACGGGUGCUAAUACCGCAUAGUUUUCUUGAUCGCAUGAUUGAGAAAGGAAAGACGGCCUUUGUGCUGUCGCUUAUGGAUGGACCCGCGGCGUAUUAGUUAGUUGGUGAGGUAACGGCUCACCAAGACGAUGAUACGUAGCCGACCUGAGAGGGUGAUCGGCCACAUUGGGACUGAGACACGGCCCAAACUCCUACGGGAGGCAGCAGUAGGGAAUCUUCCGCAAUGGACGAAAGUCUGACGGAGCAACGCCGCGUGAGUGAAGAAGGUUUUCGGAAUCGUAAAACUCUGUUGUCAGAGAAGAACAAGUUGGAGAGUAACUGCUCCAGCCUUGACGGUAUCUGACCAGAAAGCCACGGCUAACUACGUGCCAGCAGCAGC
rnacentral:rRNA from 1 species